GACAGAGGGUGCAAACGUUGCUCGGAAUCACUGGGCGUAAAGGGCGUGUAGGCGGCCAUCUAAGUCAGACGUGAAAUCCCCCGGCUUAACCUGGGAACUGCGUCUGAUACUGGAAGGCUUGAGUAUGGGAGAGGGAUGUAGAAUUCCAGGUGUAGCGGUGAAAUGCGUAGAUAUCUGGAGGAAUACCGGUGGCGAAGGCGGCAUCCUGGACCAUUACUGACGCUGAGGCGCGAAAGCUAGGGGAGCAAACGGG
rnacentral:rRNA from 1 species